CCUACGGGCGGCAGCAGUAGGGAAUCUUCCACAAUGGGCGAAAGCCUGAUGGAGCAACGCCGCGUGGGUGAAGAAGGUCUUCGGAUCGUAAAACCCUGUUGUUAGAGAAGAAAGUGCGUGAGAGUAACUGUUCACGUUUCGACGGUAUCUAACCAGAAAGCCACGGCUAACUACGUGCCAGCAGCCGCGGUAAUACGUAGGUGGCAAGCGUUAUCCGGAUUUAUUGGGCGUAAAGGGAACGCAGGCGGUCUUUUAAGUCUGAUGUGAAAGCCUUCGGCUUAACCGGAGUAGUGCAUUGGAAACUGGGAGACGUGAGUGCAGAAGAGGAGAGUGGAACUCCAGGUGUAGCGGUGAAAUGCGUAGAUAUAUGGAAGAACACCGGUGGCGAAGGCGGCCAACUGGGCUUUAACUGACGCUGAGGCUCGAAAGUGUGGGGAGCAAACAGGAUUAGAUACCCCGGUAGUC
rnacentral:rRNA from 1 species